rnacentral:rRNA from 8 species
GGAGUCCAGUUCGUUUACUUUGAGUAAAUUAGAGUGUUUAAAGCAGCCUCUUUGGGCUUUGAAUACAUUAGCAUGGGAUAAUGGAAUAGGACUUUGGUUCUAGUUUGUUGGUUUGGAGGACUGAAGUAAUGAUUAAGAGGGACAGUUGGGGGUACUUGUAUUUAAUUGUCAGAGGUGAAAUUCGGUGAUUUAUUAAAGACAAACUUAGGCGAAAGCAUAUACCAAGGAUGUUUUCAUUAAUCA